CCAUCUUGAUUCAGAUCGAUCAGAUUCGGCCUGGAUCGGACGACUGGGACCGAAUACAGCGAUACCGAAUACCUUACCAGGAUCGGUCAGGUAUCGGGAUCGGCAAUGGCCAAUACCGAUCCGAUCCCAUUCCUUAAUCCAUGCUCCAAAGUAGGAGAUAUCCUUCGGAAAUUUUCCAAAAGCCAAAACCCAAAGGCCAUAAACCCCUGUCCUCUCCGUCGUCUCUGCCUCACUUUCAAGUUUUUAUGUACUUUUAACUCGUCCGACGACUUCCGAGCUUCUAAGGCGGCAAGGAGCCAAGAACUCAAUCCUACGUUCCACAGCUUACAUCUUCAGAGUUCAGAAUCCACCGUCCGGCGUUACGUUCCAUCCCAGGCCUGCAACGUUUUCGGGGCAGUCUUGUUGAAGAACCUGCCGAGACUGUGAACGUCCCUGUACUCUCUGGGUUCAGAUGCAUCGGCAUUUUGCUGCAUUUGGCCGUCGGUUUCUCAUCAGUCCCACUCUUUGUCCAACCAAUGAUACAUUUUUAUCCUGCAAACUGAUAAAUUCCCUGUGCCCCAGAAACAAGGGAGUUUCCUAUUUCAGGUUCCUCUCAGUGAUGGCACUGCAGCGUCAACUUCCUGACCCUGAUGACCCUUCCACCUUAAUGAAGGAAGACGGCGUUGCAGUCUGCUCUUCAAUGUGGAUAGAGAAUUUUCGAGAGCCCGAUAAAACAUUGACAAAUCUAACAGACUACCUUCGACGGUUUGAGUUAUGGGUGCUGGCUUACCAAAAGGUAUGUGCUGAUGAAAUGGGCUCUUUCAUGCCCCGAAGUGCAGUACAGAAAUCCGCAUUGGAGGAUUUGUUGGCCCUUAGAAAUGCUGUACUAGACGGUAGGUUUAAAUGGGGAGCUAGGUUAGAGUUUUUCAUUCGAGCUCCGAAGGACAAAACUGAUCUUGAUACACUCUCAAAACGGAAAAUCAGGGCUCUUUUAACUACCACCCAACCGGCCGCAUUCCAAGAUCGAGUUGUCCAAGAAGUUUUGUUCAUGAUAUUGGAACCUAUUUAUGAGGCUCGUUUCUCGCAGAAGUCAUUUGGUUUCAGGCCUGGCCGGACUGCACACACAGUUUUACGGGUUAUACGACGAAACUUUGCGGGAUAUCUUUGGUACAUAAAGGGGGAUCUUAGCACUAUCUUAGAUGGGGUGAAAGUGGGAUUGGUGAUUAAUGCCCUGAUAAGAGAUGUGAGGGAUAAGAAGGUGAUUGAUUUAAUCAAAACUGCACUUGUGACUCCAGUCAUCACGAGCCGAGUUGAUGAUGGGGAGAAGAAAAAGAAGAAGAGGAAGUAUCAGAAGAAGAAAGUCUUAGCAGAGGAUGAGCCAAAGCCUGACCCAUAUUGGUUGCAGACCUUCUUUGGAUUUGCUCCAGAGGAGGCAGAGAAGGUUCCUUCUUGGGGCCACUGUGGGAUUCUUAGUCCUCUUCUUGCAAACAUAUGCCUUGAUGAGUUGGAUCAUUGGAUAGAGGAUAAGAUCAAGGAGUUCUACCGUCCUUCAAAGAGUGAUGUCAUUUGGAAUAGUCAGGAUGGGGAAGUGGAGCAAGGUAAUACGUCAUGGCCGGAAUUUGUGCCCACAAGUGGGCCUGACAAGACCCGGAAGAUGGAUUACAUCCGUUAUGGAGGCCACAUCUUGAUUGGAGUCCGGGGCCCAAGGGCAGAUGCAGCAACCCUGAGGAAACAGUUAAUUGAAUUUUGUGAUCAGAAGUAUCUCCUCAAGCUUGACAACGAUGGCCUUCCUAUUGAACACAUUACUAAGGGUAUAAUGUUUCUUGACCAUGUCUUGUGCCGGAGGGUUGUGUAUCCAACACUUAGAUAUACAGCAACUGGUGGAAAGAUCAUUAGUGAGAAGGGUGUAGGGACCCUUCUUUCAGUGACAGCAAGCUUGAAGCAAUGCAUCAAGCAAUUCAGGAAGUUGGACUUUCUCAAGGGAGACAGAGAUCCAGAUCCACAGCCUUGUUUCAGAAUGUUCCAUGCUACUCAAUCUCACACAAAUGCGCAGAUGAAUAAGUUCCUGGCGACAAUGGUAGAAUGGUAUAGAUAUGCAGACAACCGUAAAAAGGUUGUGAACUUUUGCUCUUACAUCAUAAGGGGAUCACUGGCAAAGCUCUAUGCGGCAAAAUACAAGCUUCGUUCCCGAGCAAAGGUGUAUAAGAUUGGAUCUCGAAAUCUUAGCCGUCCAUUGAAGGAGAAAAAAGGGCAGUCUCCCGAGUACCACAAUUUGCUCAGAAUGGGUCUGGUGGACUCAAUUGAAGGGCUUCAGUAUACCCGGAUGUCUCUAGUACCUGAGACUGAUUAUACCCCUUUCCCCAGUGGUUGGCGACCUGAUCAUGAGAAGGUCUUGCUAGAAUAUAUAAGACUUGAGGAUCCGAUGACUGUUGAAGCACAACGCAGUUGCCUUAGAGAAGAGGGUCUUAUUUCGCCGCAGGAAUACAUCUCAAUGCUUGUUUGGAACUACAAAAGGAACUCUAAUAUUGUGGAUCAGCUUGCUGUGGUUGAGAAUGGAGGCAAUAAUGUCCUAAGAGGAAAAGAAAUGCUGUUAAGCUCAAGCUUGGAAAGCUUCUGUGGCAGGACCACAGACGAUGAAGAGAAUAAAGGAGUCCAGGCUGCCUCGAUAUCUGGAAGAUGAUUUUAUUUUUUAUUUUUUUGUAUUUGAAAGACAGAUUUGAGCUUUUAGGGUUUCAGUUGAUCUGCUUCCAAGAAGUAAAGCGUUUCAGCUGACCGAUCUCUAAAUGUGAUUUUGAAAAACUUGGUAUUAUUUCUGCAAUCCAUGUGUGAGGACUGAACUAGACAACCCAAGAUAAUCAGAAGCUGGCUUUCAGUUAUCAUCAUCAAUCUUGGAGAGGCAAUUAAGAUUAAACAUGGAAGGGAUAUGUAUAGAAGAUCAUUUGCACAGAGAAAAUAGGAAGGACUGAAGGACAAUAAAUGCAGGUGUUUAUCCGGAUCAAAAGUAGUUCUGCAACUUUUGGAUUGGGGGUUCUAACAUAAUUCAGAAAAGAUAAGUUCUGGUUGGAAUUUGGUGUUAGACGGAGUGAUACAGCCUUCUAUUCUUCAGUCAAGAAGUAUGUGCAACAUUUACGCUAGAACCAGGUAAGUUACUUAAGGAUUAUGAGACUGUCAAAGUGUUAAUAGUAACCUAAACUAACUCUGUGUUUAGAUCAGAAUUCAGAGGUCUGCUUUUUGCUUUUGUGCUCCACACCACUGAUCUUCAGCCAGGUCAGUAUAUUUGGAUGAGAAGUGGUCAGCAUUUUCAGCUGGCUGCUCCUUGAAAAAGGCUAGGUAUCCUCAAAAUGCAAAGCCGAGUUGGUAACCAUCAUUCGCCAGUGGCUUUCACAUUUUUCUGGCCACAAAAGCGGCUGAUUGAUACUGAUCCAAACUUAAAAUAUUGUUUGAUAUUUUUAAACUGCAUGGUUCUGUUAUUGAGGAUGUUCUUGAAUUGUCAGCUAGGGCUUUGAAAAUGUAUUUUUACUAUUAAGAAUUUCAUUUCUGAAAUUUGAUGCUUUGAUUGGGUUUUAUUAAUCUCGGUAGCAUUGAAAGGGCUCUAGACUUGGAAUCUUUAAGGCUGUCAAAUGUUUAGGUGAGGACUGGAUUUUUCAUAUUCUUUGUAAAGAGAUAGGAGUGCAAAAAAUCUUGCUUGUGCUUUAGCAUUUUUCUCUCUCAACAAAAUAGCAAAAAGAAGAAAAUUGUAUCGUAUAAUCCAAGCCAGCUCCUUAGCUAUCAGUUUUUUUUUUUUAAUUCAUAACAACAAAAUCAUUAAAAAGAAGUACAAAGCGCAGAACAAGGCACUUCAACAGCCAUCCUCAACAAAAGGACACAAGGAAAAGAAAAUUACAGAAGCAAACUUAACCAAACAAGUCAGCCAAAGGAAAGGACUGUCUGGAACUGACUCAACCAACAAUCCCCCUUUUGGGUAUGAUUAUGGAAAGUCAUCUUUACAAUGUAACAUAGUUGUCUAGGCAACGGAAUGAUCCCCUUUGGAGACCCAAGCUGAGACCGCCCAACCCGGUUUUUUGGUCAAAAGGGGGCUGGUAGACUACAUACGAUCUGCAGACCUUGUAGGGGUAAACAAACUCCAUCUAUAUAUACAUGUACACCUUGAGGUUUUGGGCGUGAAUUAACCAGUCCUAGGCGACUCCAACCCCAGCCCCUUACCCAGCAAAGCUCCUCCAUUUACAGGAACCAACUCAGACAUCACCAGAACCUGUUCUUACCACUAUGUUCAGAUCCAUCAGUUAAAACCUUUCCUUGAGUUGUUUAUUAGUAAUUAUAUUUACAAUUGAUAUUUAAAAUGGCAUUUCUUCCAUUUCAUCAUAUUCCCUACCUCUCUCUCUCUCUCUGCUUGGGGUUUUUCACUGUUUCCAUUUCCAGUUAACCAUUGUUUAAAGGCUCAGGGAGACCGACUGAGGGUGGAGUCGAGGACUCGAGGGAGACAGUGGCCCUGCUUUCCUGUUCAGCAGCUCCGGUCACCUGCAACAUGCGAUCCGGUGGAGAAUCCUCAGAGAUCUUUCUGCGCACUCUCUCAAAUCUCAAGUUGAGACUUUCAACUGAAACAGGAUCAUGGUGUUUUUUGGAACACCUGAACUUCGGAGAUCAGGCUGUGUGAUUUUUAAAAGAGGCUUCCAGUAUUUGAAUCUCUAGUAUUCUUAAUCUUCGUAUUUCUGCCACCUUCCUUUUGAGAGCGGCAUAAUGCAAGGGAGAGAGAGCAGCUGCAGCAGAGAAGCUUGCAGAGUGGCAGGAAACCAUUUUUCUUCUUAGUAGGCAGUUGAAAGCUUUGCAUCUUCCAACAGAGCUCAUUGGAUCCCAACAAAAUGUGAUGCAUCAAAUGGGUGAAGGUUACGAGGUAGAUGAGCCAACUCCUAAUAGAUGGAACCCAGAAAGCAUCGGUGCCUCAAAAGACUUUGAUCAGGUUGAAAUGGAAAAUGUUGUUUCAAAUUUUACGAGUGGGUGUUGAGUCCCCCCCAAAUGCGUUAAACUCUUCCACUUGUCCAUCUGACACUGAAGCAAACAUGCUCUUGAGAUGCCCAGUCAAUUCAACACAUCCGAGACACCAGCAGGCUUCUCUACUUCCUUUUCAGCCGCAACUCCUGAGAAGCAUUCAUGGGGUUUUUGCAGGUUCUUUCCGUCCAAAACAAGGAUGGACAUUGGAUUUUAGCUCUCAAAUUUCAACAGCAGUAACCAAAUUAAUUGGUUAUUGUGGUAAACAUGGAGGUGGAUGUUUUGUAGAUGAGUGAUUGAAGAGUUUCUGGACAAGCCAUUCCUAUGUUUAUGGGAGGCAUGUUGAAAAGGGGAAGGUUGACUAGUCCAUGGUUUGGUAGCUUAAUGUUGAAGAUACAUGGAGAAUUGGGGUGAGCAGGAUUAGCCAAAUAUCACUGGUGCAUGAGAGAUGAUCAUCAACCUCAUAUACAAGUUCAUACAUAUGGUCAAUGUAGAAAGUCACCUUGAAUGUAAAGUGUUAUCAACCUCUGUUAUACAGUUCAAAUAAAUUUGAUAAACAGACUUCCGUUGCAGCUAGCAAAUAACAAAUUGAUUACAAAUGAUAAUGAGGUUGCUUCUACA